rnacentral:lncRNA from 1 species
UUUUUGCACCACGACAGUUGGGGACUCUGCUGGGGACUUUUCUCCUAAGUGAGUCCACUGUAGUUUAGUUUAUUUUGUGUUUGAGUGUUUGCUUUUAUCUAUUUGUUUGAUUAAUCUUUAUUUGCCUUUUAUAUUUUUAUUUCCAAUUGUUGUAUUAUUGUUAUAUGAUACCAUUGGAGCUUUCUAAUCAUUGGCAUUUGUGUG